AUUGAACGCUGGCGGCAUGCCUUACACAUGCAAGUCGAACGGCAGCACGGGAGCUUGCUCCUGGUGGCGAGUGGCGAACGGGUGAGUAAUACAUCGGAACGUACCCAGGCGUGGGGGAUAACGUAGCGCAUGUUACGCGAAUACCUCAUGUUCUGUGAGCAGGAAAGCGGGGGUUCGCAAGACCUCGCGCCCUUGGAGCGUCCCAUGUCGGAGUAACAAGUUGGUGAGGUAAAACCUCACCAAGGCGACGAUCCGUAGCAGGUCUGAGAGUAUGAUCUGCCACACUGGGACGGAGACACGGCCCAGACUCCUACGGGAGGCAGCAGUGGGGAAUUUUGGACAAUGGGGGCAACCCUGAUCCAGCCAUGCCGCGUGAGUGAAGAAGGCCUUCGGGUUGUAAAGCUCUUUCGGCGGGGAAGAAAUGGCAACGGCUAAUAUCCGUUGUUGAUGACGGUACCCGCAUAAGAAGCACCGGCUAACUACGUGCCAGCAGCCGCCGUAAUAC
rnacentral:rRNA from 1 species